rfam:Myotis brandtii contig255868, whole genome shotgun sequence.
UGUGAACUUGGGGGGUCCCUCAGCCCAGAUUGCGAGAGAGUGCAGGCCAGGCCAAGGGACCCCACUGGUGCACA